rnacentral:rRNA from 1 species
UACAGAGGGUGCAAGCGUUGUUCGGAAUUAUUGGGCGUAAGGGCUCGUAGGCGGCCAACUAAGUCAGACGUGAAAUCCCUCGGCUUAACCGGGGAACUGCAUCUGAUACUGGAUGGCUUGAGUUCGGGAGAGGGAUGCGGAAUUCCAGGUGUAGCGGUGAAAUGCGUAGAUAUCUGGAGGAACACCGGUGGCGAAGGCGGCAUCCUGGACCGACACUGACGCUGAGGAGCGAAAGCCAGGGGAGCAAACGGG